rnacentral:pre_miRNA from 1 species
GGCCUACUCCCUCCGUUCCAAAUUACUCGUCGCAGAAAUGGAUGUAUCUAGAACUAAAAUACAUCUAGAUACAUCCAUACCUGCGACAAGUAAUUCAGAACGAAGGGAGUAGGUU